CGCAGGGUAGAGCAGUUGGUAGCUCGUCGGGCUCAUAACCCGGAGGUCAGGGGUUCAAGUCCCCUCCCUGCAACCA
rnacentral:tRNA from 1 species